rnacentral:sRNA from 1 species
CAGGCUAUAAAGCCGUGACCUGCCCCUCUA